UGGGCCCAGUGGGUAGGCGCGUAGACGACGCGUAAAUGACGCGUAGGCUGCUGCCUACGCAGGAGAUGUCCGGGAAAAGAGAACUGAUUCGAGGCUCGUACCUGCAACCCCGUCAGGGGCUGCGGAUGAACCGCGUCGUCGUCAUCGUGAUUACAACAUGUUUAACCUGUAAAAAAGAAUGAUACGAGACCACACGGAAACAACGAUGUAGGAGAAAACUCGCAGAACCAAUUAUUAAACUCCAGCUCUCAUUGUGAACCUUCAAAAGAUACUAACGCGCCUCCAGCUUCAACUUCACCAUCAGUAUCAAUGUACUUCGAUUUUACCCCGUACACUGUAGUCCCGCAAUAUAAUCAACAAAAUCAAAACAGAUUUUCACUGUGGCGCUUGAUAUGGCGCUUUCUUAAGGAUUUAUUUUGCCAUCCGUCACCAUCUACAUCCGAAAGUUCGUUAGACACGAAUUGCGAGAGCGGGAAUAUCCAAGCUCGCUACUAGUGCGCUACAGUUCCAUCGUUAAUUUGCAAAGAAAAUUUAAUAUAAUAUGAAAGAUGUGAACAGAAAUUUUGUUGAAUAUUACAGAGGGAAAUGGCUUUGUUUAAAACUGGAAAGAAAGACACGAUUUAUCAAGAGCUAUAUGCGAGCCAUGGCAAUUUGAAUAUUUGUGUUUCUGUCGUAGAAACUAUAUUAUAUUUAUCGUGCACUUCAUCACAUUGUCCUAAACAAACAUUCUUAUUAACUUUACAAAACUAUUACUACGGUCAUAUUUCUACAAGUCUCUCAAUUGUAGAAAUGUGACCAUUGUACUGUAUUGUACACUGUAUUUUGGAAAAUACGUAUUUCUCAACUCAAAAAUUCCAAUCUGUACCCAUAAACACUUAUAAAUGAAGCGAAAGCAUACGCUAUUUUCAUCUAAAUUAAUUAAUUAUUGAUGUGAUUUAAUCUAUAUUAGCUAAACCCAUAGCAGGCCACAAAAAAAAAAAAAAAAUCCAUAACAGGCAUUUUUUAACAUCUCUCUAAAUUAUUCGAUUAAUUCCUCUUUUUCCAUAAGUAGACAAAGUAUCAAGAGUCCACAGACAAGUCGCUGUUCCAGAAAUGUAGGAGGAAGUAUCUUAUAAAGUGCUUUCUGGAGAGCACAAUGAACGACUCAUAUUUACAGUUGUACUACAUGAGGAAAUACUACCUUCCACUAAAUAGAUGUAUCUCUUUAAUGUAUAUUUAUAUGGAUGUUAUAUAGAUGUAUAUUUAUAUAUAAAUUUAAUAUUUUAUGGAUACUUUUUUCGAUGUACUAAAUAUUUUAAAUAUGAUAUCACUGUUUAUUGUAUAACAGAUAUAUAAGUAUCGUUAAAUGUAAUGUGUACAAUGUUAUUAUUAGUAAAUGUGUAAGGAGAGUCCGAGAGAGUUCAGUCCGUAACAUUCAUGACUACAGGCAAUGAACUUAAUUUUCUUUACACUAGUUUUUAAUUAUAAUACUGUAACCGUGUUUAUUCUUUUAACCGCUGCCACCAUGUAGUGAGACACAAACUUGCUAAUUCAAUACUAGUAAAGUAAAAUAUUAAAUUAUCAAAUGUCUUACUUCGUCUUACACUACCCACCUAAUUAUACUAAUUUUUUUUGUAUGCAUUAUAAUAUAUAAUAUUAUUAUAUAUUGAUUUACAAAAUUUUACUAUUAUAUAUACAGGGUGGAAAGGACAGGUUGGCCAAGAGAGCUGAUUCAGAUGAAUGGUCUGAAUCAUAUGGCAGAUUAUCUUCUUGUCGGAAAUGUAUCACAGUCAUAUAAUUAACAAUUCUUAGUAUUGACGGCGCGCAAUGUAUUCAAAAUUUUACGAUGCACACGACACGUGAUAGCUACAACGCAUGCUCAGUAGCGCUUCUUCGUAGAUAGUUUUCAUAUUCAUACGCUUGGGGCGUUGAGCUUACACAGCUAAUUCCGCGCGUCGCGGUAUGAAUUUAAUACGUGUAUUACAUUGCACACACACAGUAUUUCACUAUAAAAUAUUAUUAAUUCUGUUUAUUAUGACAUAAUAUUAUAGAUUACAUGGUUUUUAAAUGGAAAAAAAUAAGAUUUUUUUUAUUUCUGGAAAAAAAAUUUACUGGUUUUCAGUUCAGAAGAAUGGUUUGAAUUCACUGUUUCAUCUUUUACCAAUUUGUACCUUAAACACUGUAUAAGUAAUAUAAAGGGUAUAUUGCAACUAUGAAUAAAACAAUAUAUAAUAUUGAGCAAAGAGUUAUAGACUAAAUAGUUCAAAAUUGUACCUAAAACCUUAAUUCAAAAAAGCAUUUCGAGUACCUAUGCAUCCUUAACAAACUCUCAAAACAAAUAUAUAACUGUUACAUGUGUUUAUGUGCGUGUCAUAAUAUAAUAUAAUCAUAUUUUUUUAAUACUUAAAAACACCACUGCUUGUCAUUUUUAGAAAAACGAAUAAAUAAAUUAAUUAAAUUAUCAAAUGUAUAAGAUCAUAAAGACAUGAAUUCAACAAUUCAUAAGCCUUACAUUAUUUAUAAAUUAAUAUGUUAAGUUAUUAUGUAUUUUCAGAUGUCAGUAUUUUUGUGAAUCCGGUUGUAGAGUUCUGUGCCAAAAUGGUACAAACAACACGUCUUGGAAGAUAUUCAAUUAUCGAAUGUAUGAGAUCAUAAAGAUAUACUAUUUAUUUUCAAAUGCCACUAUUUUUGUAAAUCUGUUUUUGG